CAGAGACACCCCACAAUUGUCUGUACUUUCAUAAAGGCCAAGGAAGGUCUUCCCGUUAAAAGUCAAUGGCAUUAGGGUCCCGGUAGAUACCACCGCCGCAACAGUAACACCUUUGAGCUCGACAGUCUCUAUCUCGACAUGAAUGGCACUAUUCAUCCCUGUUUCCAUCUUGAAGAUAAUAAUACUUGGCUGCUAAGCUUCUUGCUUCAAAGACAGUGAUGAAGCCGGAGAAGGAGAAGGAGAAGGAGAAGGAGGAGAAGUAAAAGCAGAAGGAUUACCUGAAAAUACAUCAGCUCAGACUUAGAUUCUACAAUGCAUACUGGUGUGAAUCAUGUUCAUCAAAUUUUUAUAAUUACAGUGAAAUUAUUAUUGACAACUGAAGUUUGUUAGUGCUUUGUAGAAGAAGACUGGCUUCCGGAGAUUAUUACCGGCAAAGCGCAAAAUGGGAAUUGUAUUUAACGUUCAUUUCCUAUGCAAUAGCCUCGGAUGUUUAUAUAAGAAUUCAAUUCAAUUGUAAAUAUUUAUAUUAUUUGAACAAUAUUUGGAUGUGAAGUGCCUUCUUCUUUCUUCGAUGGUUUGAUGCCCUCUUGCCAUAUUCACAACAUAGUUUGUUUAGAUUCAUAUCAGAAAAGAUGGUGUUCCUAGUUUAACUGAGAUCAAACUUGCUUUGUUUCAGCCGAGGAUCUUAUCCACGACUCUAUCUUUACAACUGGGUAAAGCAUCCGUACUAUGAAGAAAAUAUUGAGGGAAGAUGCUUACCUAUCAGGGAUGCUUGGUUCUAUCAAAUGGUCCUGUUAUCACCGUGAAAGUUACAUCAAGUCUAUGGCUUGACUUGAUUUAGAAAGCGUUGGAGAUAUUCUCAAGGCCUCAGGAGUCAGUCAUUGUUGAGAAUGCUGGUCAUCCAUACAAAGACCAGAUGGAGGAGUGCAAAAAUUGGAAAGCGGAUGUUUUGGCAAUGAUCAUACUCCGGCAUACCAGGUUGGGCACUAUAUUGUUUGGUUGGUUAAUUCCUACAGUGAUGAAGUUCUAGUUGAGCUUGGCCAAUAAGGUGUUAUGAAUCUUCUGGCAUUUCCAGUCAGCUUUUUGAGUGAGCACAUAGAAACACUAGAAGAGAUUGUCAUGGUGUACAGGGAGAUGGCUCUUUAAUCUGGCAUUCAAAAUCGGUGAUGUGUACCCUCCGUCAAGUGCACAUCUUCCUAUAUCACGGAUCUGGCAUAUGCGAUACUAGCAGCCUUACCUUUAGCAACUGCUAUGUCUUCCUAAAGGAACAUCUCCAAUGAAGACGACAAUGAAUUGUGAGAUCUUGUUUGAGAAUUCAUGACGAUGCCACUGUCUUGGGAUAGUGUGAUGAUUUUCCUUUCCAUGGCAUUAGUUUUGGCUUUAUUCAAAAGUAGUAUUUUGAGCAGGGGAUGAUACAAAAAGUGAACAAGCUAUCCACAUAAAUCAGGAUUACUGUAGCAAUGGCCUUGAGUAUUGUAAAUAUUUAUACUAUUUGAGCAAUAAUUGGAUGUAAAAUACUUUUUUCAUUCUUCAGUGGUUUGAUUACCCCUUACCAUAAUCACAACAUACUUGGUUUAGAUUGAUAUCAGAAAAUUGAAAUGGAAAAUCCAGGGGAAAACAUAGCAUGGAAUUGUAGCUUGAGAUGAGCAUGGAAUUGCGGAAUAUCAAUCCCAUUCACAUGCCACUGAAGAUAAGGUUAUUUCGGUUCCUUCAAUGGCCCUUGGCAAAUUAAUUUCUGUUCUACAAGGACAAAAGUAAAGAAGGAUAUGCUUCCAUAGGAGGUGGCUCACCUUUGUGUAAAAUAACAGAUGAGCAGGCACAUGCAUUUAGAAUGGCUCUGGAAGAAAAGAACUUACCUGUCAACGUCUAUGUUGGAAUGAGGUAUAAUAGCUGAAGCCCUACACUGAUGAAGUUCUUGUUGGGCUCAGCUAGAAAGGUGUCAAGGGUUGUCUUGCAGUUCCAGUCAGGGAGAUAUGAGCGAUAAAAUGGCUAUCUACCGAACUAAAUUAAUUGUAGUCUUUAUGAUUGCAGCAUUGUGAGUGAACACAUUAAAACCUAAGAUGAGAUUGACAUGGAGUACAGAGAGUUGGCUUUUGAAUCCGACAUUCAAAACUGGGGAUGUGUACUUGUCCUCAACUGCAUGUCUUCCUUCAUCAUGUAUCUCCAAUGCAGACAACCAAGGCUUUGCGAGAUAUGCUAUCAGAAUGUUCUUUGGUUCUAUUUUAGAAUUUGUUUUGCUGUCAUCGCCAAAAAUGAUACUUGCAAUCAAGAAUAUUCUCCUUUAAAGUCCAUUUAGAGUAGUGUGUCAAAAAAGUAGAAUUAUAGUUGAGUUUCAUAUGAGCUAGCGAUUUCAUCGAAUAAAGUUUCAAACAUCGGAACAUAAUUUGAUAAAAAUACCGAGACAUAGCACAGAUUUAUUUUGUUUUACAUAAAAAUGGGGUAUUCUUGCAAUGUUAGCCCGGGGCUAGUAGGGAGCUAGUGCACAACUAGCCUGCGUGGGCGCCGAGGCUACAGAGUGGGUGGUAUUCUUGCUGUUGAUGAAUCAAAUGCCACCUGUGGGAAGAGGUUGUCAUCAGUUGGAUUGGACUACAGUGAGACCAAUAGACAGGCUCGCAGGCAACUUUUGCUUCUUGUAUAGUGAAAGUUUCUGAAAAAGGAAUAUAUAUUCUAUUAUAUCCAUGCCUCAAGAUCUUCUCUUUUUGGAUUUCAUGUCAGCAAUGUCUUGGAUGAUUCUGCAAGUUUUUUUGCAUUGUCAGGCGCUUGCAUGAUCUGAGCAAACCAUAUUCUCAAGCACUUGCUAAUCUAAAUUCUGAUUCAACUUUUAAAAAAACUAGCAUUGCCGGGGCUCAAAAGGGAAAUCUAGUAGGGAAAAUGUUUGGUGCAGUUGGAGUAAGCACAUACUGUAAAAAUGCUGCAGAAUACCAUUCCCAUUCACAUGCCCCAGCAGAUAAGGUUGGAGUGUUAAUUCUGAAUCUUGGAGGACCAGAAGAUAAGGAGCUUCAAGUCUAUGACUGACUUGAUUCAGAAAGAGUUGAGGCCAUGGAAGGUCUUCCUGUUAAAAUCAACGGUGUUACAACACACUCCCACCCCACACCGCCCCCCCCCUUCCGGUCGAUACCAUCUGCUGCAACCCUAAUGGCUUUGAGUUCGACAAAGAAGUGUGCUCAUGGCAGUGAAAAUGCAGGGGAAUACAGAGCAUGGAAUUGUAGCAACAAAAGAAUAGCAGACAAGCUGAAGAGGUCUUAGAUAUCAGGUGGAAUUUAUAGGUCAUAGAUAUCAGGUGGGCAGUUUCGGAUUGGCAAGGUUGCAUGCUGAUGGAAACUUAGCAGAAGAGACACUUGCCAUAUGCUCGUUUAAUUAAG